rnacentral:tRNA from 1 species
GCUGGAGAGUUGGUACUGCCCUGCGGAUUGUCACCGGCGGCGGCGCGGGUUCGAUUCCCGCCUCCAGCU